AGAUGCUGAGGACUUGGAUGAGGACGGGCACCAAAUCUGCAUUGUCCAUUGCUAUUUCCCAGGUUGAGUUGCUGAAGCGGCUUCAUUGUCUGGGGACAUACCCAAGGUUCGUCAUCGCGUGACGAGAAGAUUAAGGACACAGACGCAAACACGGAGCGGGUCAAGUAGCGGAAAGUUUAAUAGGCAGGAAAGAAGAGAACAGCUCACCGGUAGAGAGCCGUCAAUGGUGUGCCAGAUAAGAAGCUAUGCACUGAAAAGAUGGAGAGGAGCGGCGAGAUUCUGCAUCUUAGCUUGCCUAGGUGGGGAGUGUCAUCUUAUGAAUGCUAUAUGGCCAUUAUUACUUCCAUAUUCCAAGCAGGAAAAAGGAGGAAGACUGAAGCACAAAGCUUCUCUCGUCUGUGUCACCCUCUGCAAGGAGUUUGCAGUUGGACUGGAAAACCCACAUUUCCCACUGAGUGCUUUACCACUCUCAGUGGAACUUAGGUUCUGAUACUGAGAACAAAGGAGAGAAUGGACAAUGAAGGGAUCACUAGCAGUUUUCAUUACAAAUAGUAUCUUGAAAAAACCUUAACAAUAAGGUGAGGUGUGGUGGCUCAUGCCUGUAAUAUCAGCACUUUGGGAGACCGAGGUGGGCAGAUUGCUUGAGCCCAGGAGUUCCAGACCAGCCUGGGCAACAUGGCGAAACCCUGUCUCUACAAAAAUAUACAAAAAAUUAGCCAGCAUGGUGGGACGUGCUUGUAGUCCCAGCCACUCAGGACACUGAGGUGAGAGGAUCACCUGAACCCAGAAAGUCGAGGCUGCAAUGAGCCAUGAUGGUGCCACUGCAUUCAAGCCUGGACGACAGAGUGAGACCCUGUCUCAAAAAAUAAAUAAAAGCAAAAGAAACAAUAGAAAAACACAAGAAGGAAGGAAAAAUCAUAUUUACAGUUUUUAAAUGUGAACGAACUGAAUUCUCUUAUUAAAAGAUAAAGACCACCAGAUUAAAUGAAAAAUACAAAACCACUUAAGUUGCUUAGAAAUACAAUUGUAACGAAAUUGUUUUAUAAAAAGGCUGAACACAGGAAGCACCUUCCCCAGUUUCUUC
rnacentral:lncRNA from 10 species